CAAUGGCGCCGUGGAUCAACAAGGUUCAGCUGGCAGUGAUGUCAUUAAUAAGCGACCGACAUUGAAUUUGGCAAUGCCAAGAUUUGGUGGUGCGCCUGUCGCGGCAGCAAAGCCAAAUCUCGGUGCUGCCAGAAAAGUAACAAAGACCCCACUCACCGAUCCCACCGAGCCAACCACCAGUUCUCCAGCCAGCAUUGCUGUCCCAG